rnacentral:lncRNA from 1 species
UAGAUGCAAAGGAUCCAGUGGAGGUCUCUGAGGCCCUGGGAGAUGGUAGAGCCACACCAUGAAGGUGCCUGGGUCCCUGAAUGACUGCAUGGAGCUCACUCUACAUUGGACUGUGACACAAGCAAGAAAGGCCCCAGGCUCCAGAAGCAGACGAAGAUGAACAGAAGAGCAGAAGCACAGCAGAACGGCAUGGCAGAGAGAAGAGAAUGAGCAUCUGAAUGCUGAGAGGAGUUUGGCUGGGAAUGGUCAGAGAGAUUGGCUGCUGGACAGCCAAACUCCGGGAGAAGAUCAUCUCCCCACUCCAUUCACUUUUCAGCUCCCC